rnacentral:rRNA from 1 species
AAGGAAUUGACGGGGGCCCGCACCAUCGGUGGAACAUGUGGUUUAAUUCGAUGCUACGCGAAGAACCUUACCUGGGCUUGACAUAUAUAUGGCGUAUGUAAGAAAUUAUGUAUUCUGUCUGUUUUUUCAGAUAGCAUAUAUACAGGUGAUGCAUGGCUGUCGUCAGCUCGUGUCGUGAGAUGUAGGGUUAAGUCCCUUAACGAGCGCAACCCUUGCUUUUAGUUGCCAUCAGGUAAUGCUGGGGACUCUAGAAGGACUGCCGAGGUUAACUCGGAGGAAGGUGGGGAUGACGUCAAGUCAGUAUGUCCCUUAUGUCCAGGGCUACACACGUGUUACAAUGGUCGGUACAGAGUGACGCUAAUCCACGAGGUGGCGCCAAUCACUUAAAGCCGAUCACAGUUCGGAUUGGAGUCUGCAAUUCGACUCCAUGAAGUUGGAAUCGCUAGUAAUCGCAGUACAGCAUGCUGCGGUGANUACGUUCCCGGGCAUUGUACACACCGCCCGUC